rnacentral:lncRNA from 1 species
UCCCCCAGGGCUCAAUUUCGGGUCCAUUUCUAUUCAACCUUUAUAUGCUCCCACUUGGACAAAUCUUAAAGAAUAAUUUGAUCUCCUAUCAUAACUAUGCUGAUGACACCCAAAUGUACUUAACUUUGACACCUAAUGACUAUGGUCCCCUUGAAUCUCUUUGUGAUUGUAUUGAGCAAAUUAACCACUGGAUGUCUCAGAACUUUCUCCAGCUAAACAAAGACAAAACUGAAGUAAUAGUUUUUGGUAAAAAGGAGGAAAGAUGUAAGAUUGCCACCCUUCUUAACAAAAAAGGACUUAAAGCAAAGGAUACUGUCAGAAAUCUUGGUGUCCUCUUAGACAGUGAUCUAAAUUUUAACAGCCACAUGAAAGCAAUUACCGGUACUAAAUCUGCGUUCUACCAUCUCAAAAACAUUGCCAAAAUUAGGGAUUUUAUGUCAAAAGAUGACUUGGAAAAACUAAUUCAUGCCUUUAUCUCCAGUAGGGUUGAUUACUGCAAUGGGCUGUUCACAGGCCUUCCCAAAAAAAACCUUAAACAGCUUCAAAUGAUACAAAAUGCAGCAGCCAGAAUUCUUACAAAAACAAAAAGAACUGACCACAUAACCCCUAUACUGAAAUACCUGCGCUGGCUCCCAGUUAGUUACAGGAUUGACUUUAAAGCACUGCUGCUUGUUUUCAAGUCACUUAAUGGGAUAGGGCCAAAGUAUCUAUCUGACAUGUUUCAGCAGUACGUACCACUCAGAUCUCUCAGAUCGCAGCAUAAAUUUCUAUUAGUAAAACCCACUGUCCAAACUAAACAGGGUGAAGCAGCACUCAGCCACUAUGCGGUUCACCUCUGGAACCAACUUCCAGAAGACAUUAAAAACGCUCCAACUACUUUCAGUUUUAAAUCUAGACUAAAGACCAAACUUUUCUCAGAUGCCUUCUGCUAACUGGCCAUGAACAGUUCCUUUGAAGUAUUAUUGCUUACUCUAAUAGACUAGUGAUUGUUAUUAUUCUUUUUAUGCUUUUAUUUCCUAUAUUUUACUAUUUUUAUGCCUUAAUGUUCUCAUGCUUUUAUUUUCUAUAAUUUACUGUUUUUAUGAUCAUGCACUGACCUUUUGCUUUUUUAAAAAAAAAAAAAAUGUUUUAUGUGAAGCACAUUGUUGU